AUAUUUGGGACUUGUAAGUUUGUCACCGAGAUAGGUAGCGUGCUACCUAUCUCUCUCUCUCAAAAAAAAAAAACUAUUCAAGAGCUACACCGACUGUCCCUAGCACAAGUGGUAAAGAGUUUGACAGUUGGUAUCCGAGAUCCCAAGUUCGAAUCCUAAUUGAUUCACAUUUCCAGCUAAGUUUAUUUCUAAAAAAAAUUAACGAAGUUGGUAGCAUGUUGUCUUUCUCUCCAAAAAAAACCCUACUUUAGAAGUAUUUCAACUUAAUAAUAUUAUGUAAUAUAUAUAUAUAGUUAGGCUGGAAUAUUAUUAAUAACAAAAGAUCCUAUUUGCUAUCAAGUUUUUAACCCUUAGAUGAGAAAUUGUAAGAUUAGCAUGAUAUUAGUCCCUUAAGGUUGAGUGGUCCUUCCUAGANCAUAUAUAUAUAUACAUAUACAUAUAUAUAUAUAUAUAUAGAGUCUGGUUAUGAUGCUUUUAAUUAAAAGUACCAAAUAUUUGAAACUUGUAAGUUUGUCACCGUUAAACCUAUCUCUUUAACGAAUUCUAUUUCUUCGAUUAUAUUAUUCCACUAGUCACCUACAAAUUCUUAGGGACCAAUAUUAUCUCUUUCUCUCUCUCUCUAUAUUGUAGAGCUACUAUGCUUCCGACUUUUUAGCCUUUGAUCAAGAAUUAUAGGGUCAGAAAAAUAGUGGUUUCUCUUGGGGUUGUGUAACGUCCCAAUAGUCCCACAUUGAAUGGGAUACUGAUUUCGAUCGGUUUAUGUAAGGCCUACAUGCUAGUAAUAAUAAUGGGUUUAAGCAUUUUGGGCUGGUGGUUUGGGUCUAACGAAUUAUUGUUGCUAGCGGGUCGCGCGUGUCAUUGCAAUUGAUAUCAGAGUCGAAUAUCAACCGGAAGUGUGAGAGCUAAGUGCUAUGCGGGGCAAAGUAUUACACCAACGGAUUUGGUGGGAGCCACCUCUUGAACUCGUAGGAGACACCUUUAGAAUCUCAUAUCACAUGGUAAUUUUGGUCUUGAUUUGUCUGUCUGUCUAUGAUCUAGUUUGGAUCUGUCUGUUUGUGAUCUGGUUUAGACCUGACGAGGACAUCAGGAUCUAAACAGGGGGAGUUUGUAACACCCCAAUUUCUAUCAGUUUAUAUGGCCUACACGCUAGUAAUAAUAACGUGGUUUAAGCAAUUUGGGCCGGUGGUUUGGGCCUAACAAGUUAUUGUUGUUAGGGAGUCGGAUCGUUACAGGUUGAGUGAUCCUCCUUAAGGUUGAGUGGCCUCCCUAGGAUAAUAAUAUUAAUUCAAAAAUAAAAAAUAAUUUAAGAGAUUGAUUCAGAGUAAAAAAAAUUGAAAGUACAAACUCUCUUAUACUUCCGAAAAUAUAAAAACUCUACUCUCUCUUUCUAUAUAU
rnacentral:lncRNA from 1 species